CUACGGGUUGCUGCAGUAAGGAAUCUUCCGCAAUGGGCGAAAGCCUGACGGAGCGACACCGCGUGGUGGAUGACAGCCUAUGGGUUGUAAACACCUUUUCUAUGGGAAGAAGAUCUGACGGUACCAUAGGAAUAAGGACCGGCUAAUUACGUGCCAGCAGCCGCGGUAAUACGUAAGGUCCGAGCGUUACCCGGAAUUAUUGGGCGUAAAGCGUCCGCAGGUGGUUGUAAAAGUCAGUUAUUAAAUACCGAUGCUCAACAUCGGUGCUGUAAUUGAAACUUUAUAACUAGAGGAUGGUAGAGGUAUAUGGAAUUCUACAAGUAGGGGUAAAAUCCGUAGAUAUGUAGAGGAACACCAAAAGCGAAGGCAGUAUACUGGACCAUUCCUGACACUCAGGGACGAAAGCGUGGGGAGCAAAAGGGAUUAGAUACCCUUGUAGUC
rnacentral:rRNA from 1 species